CUCCUGGAAACGGGUGGUAAUGCCGGAUGCUCCGCCCCCUCGCAUGGGGGGUCGGGAAGGCUUUUGCGGAAUGGGAUGGGGUCGCGUCCUAUCAGCUUGUUGGCGGGGCGACGGCCCACCAAGGCUUCGACGGGUAGCCGGCCUGAGAGGGCGACCGGCCACAUUGGGACUGAGAUACGGCCCAGACUCCUACGGGAGGCAGCAGUGGGGAAUAUUGCACAAUGGGGGGAACCCUGAUGCAGCGACGCCGCGUGCGGGAUGGAGGCCUUCGGGUCGUGAACCGCUUUUGAUUGGGAGCAAGCGUGAAUGAGUGUACCUUUCGAAUAAGCACCGGCUAACUACGUGCCAGCAGCCGCGGUAAUACGUAGGGUGCAAGCGUUGUCCGGAAUCAUUGGGCGUAAAGGGCUCGUAGGCGGUUCGUCGCGUCCGGUGUGAAAGCCCAUCGCUUAACGGUGGGUCUGCGCCGGGUACGGGCGGGCUUGAGUGCGGCAGGGGAGGCUGGAAUUCCCGGUGUAACGGUGGAAUGUGUAGAUAUCGGGAAGAACACC
rnacentral:rRNA from 1 species